rnacentral:rRNA from 1 species
CUACGGGUUGCUCCAGUGGGGAAUAUUGGACAAUGGGGGAAACCCUGAUCCAGCAAUGCCGCGUGUGUGAAGAAGGCCUGCGGGUUGUAAAGCACUUUCGGUUGGGAGGACUGCUUCUAGCACUAAUAUUGUUGGAAGUUGACGUUACCUUCAGAAGAAGCACCGGCUAACUCCGUGCCAGCAGCCGCGGUAACACGGAGGGUGCAAGCGUUAAUCGGAAUUACUGGGCGUAAGGCGCGCGUAGGCGGCUAGAUCAGUCGGGUGUGAAAGCCCCGGGCUUAACCUGGGAACUGCAUCCGAUACUGUCUAGCUUGAGUACAGGAGAGGAGAGUGGAAUUCCACAUGUAGCGGUGAAAUGCGUAGAUAUGUGGAGGAACACCAAUGGCGAAGGCAGCUCUCUGGCCUGAUACUGACGCUGAGGUGCGAAAGCGUGGGGAGCAAACAGGAUUAGAUACCCUUGUAGUC